rnacentral:rRNA from 1 species
GACGAACGCUGGCGGCGUGCUUAACACAUGCAAGUCGAACGGAAAGGCCCCCAUCUUGGUGGGGGUGCUCGAGGGGCGAACGGGUGAGUAACACGUGGGUGAUCUGCCCUGUACUUCGGGAUAAGCUUGGGAAACUGGGUCUAAUACCGGAUAGGCCCAUGGUUUAGUGUCUGGGGGUGGAAAGAUUAUUGUUUUGGUGCAGGAUGAGCUCGCGGCCUCUCGGCUUGUUGGUGGGGUAAUGGCCUACCAAGGCGUCGUCGGGUCGCCGGCCUGAUGGGUUGGACGGCCACAGGGGGACUGGGCUACGGUGGGGCUGAGUUAGGGAGGAAGCAGUUAGGGAUAGUGGACGAUGGGAGCAAGGCUGAUGGAGCGGAGGCGUGUGGGGGAUGCCGGCCGUCGGGGUGGAAGGUCCUUGCGUUAGGGACGAAGCCGGACUUUUAUUGGGUGUGGGGAAGGGACAUUGGUUAAGAAGCACCGGCUAACUACGUG